AGGAUGCUUACUUACCCAGACUAUGACCUUUGCCAUUCUAGGGAGAGUUACAGGAAUAGUGCAGGGUUUAAGAUAUUAUCCUAGACAGAUGGAAGACCAACCAGAGCAGCCCUAAUUUUCCAUGAGAUGUGCCAUCAGAAACUAAAGAGAUGUGUCUGUUAUAGACUUACUUCUUCCUGAGACUGAUUUGGAGGUAUGAGAUAGAUUUUGUAUUGUCUGAACUGCUGCUUCCUGC
rnacentral:lncRNA from 1 species